rnacentral:rRNA from 1 species
UACAGAGGUCUCAAGCGUUGUUCGGAUUCAUUGGGCGUAAAGGGUGCGUAGGUGGCGCCGUAAGUCAGGUGUGAAAUUUCGGAGCUUAACUCCGAAACUGCAUUUGAUACUGCGGUGCUUGAGGACUGGAGAGGAGACUGGAAUUCAUGGUGUAGCAGUGAAAUGCGUAGAGAUCAUGAGGAAGACCAGUGGCGAAGGCGGCUCUCUGGACCGAUACUGACGCUGAGGCGCGAAAGCGUGGGGAGCAAACAGG